CCUACGGGAGGCAGCAGUGGGGGAUAUUGCACAAUGGGGGGAACCCUGAUGCAGCGACGCCGCGUGGGUGAAGGAGCGUUUAGGCGCGUAAAGCCCUAUCGGCAGGGAAGAAGAUGACGGUACCUGACCAAGACGCCCCGGCUAACUACGUGCCAGCAGCCGCGGUAAUACGGAGGGGGCAGGCGUUAUCCGGAUUUACUGGGUGGAAAGGGGGCGCAGACGGCAAUGCAAGCCAGGAGUGAAAUGACGGGGCCCAACCCCGGGACGGCUCUUGGAACUGCAUGGCUGGAGUACAGGAGGGGCAGGCGGAAUGCCUAGUGUAGCGGUGAAAUGCGUAGAUAUUAGGAAGAACACCGGUGGCGAAGGCGGCCUGCUGGACUGUGACUGACGUUGAGGAACGAAGGCGUGGGGAGCAAACAGGAUUAGAUACCCUUGUAGUC
rnacentral:rRNA from 1 species